CAGAGAAUAGUUUAAUUAAAAUGUUAGUUUUGGGAACUGAUGAUAAGAGGCAACUCUUUUCUCUGA